GUCUAUGGCCAUACCACCCUGAACACGGCAGUUCUCUUCUGAUCUCGGAAGCUAAGCAGGGUCGGGCCUGGUUAGUACUUGGAUGGGAGACCGCCUGGGAAUACUGGGUGCUCC
ensembl:rRNA 5S_rRNA 5S ribosomal RNA